UACAGAGGGGGCAAGCGUUGUUCGGAAUUACUGGGCGUAAAGGGCGCGUAGGCGGCCUUCUAAGUCGAACGUGAAAUCCCCGGGCUCAACCCGGGAACUGCGUCCGAUACUGGAAGGCUCGAAUCCGGGAGAGGGAUGCGGAAUUCCAGGUGUAGCGGUGAAAUGCGUAGAUAUCUGGAGGAACACCGGUGGCGAAGGCGGCAUCCUGGACCGGCAUUGACGCUGAGGCGCGAAAGCCAGGGGAGCAAACGGG
rnacentral:rRNA from 1 species